rnacentral:rRNA from 1 species
AAUCAACGCUGGCGGCGUGCCUAACACAUGCAAGUCGAGCGGGAAAGGGGGCUUCGGUCCCUGAGUAUAGCGGCGGACGGGUGAGUAACACGUGGGUAAUUUGCCCUUGGGUGUGGAAUAACUCAGGGAAACUUGAGCUAAUACCGCAUGACAUCCCCUUCACACACGAGUUGGGGAUCAAAGCCGGGGACCCUUCGGGGCCUGGCGCCUGAGGAGAAGCCCGCGCCCGAUUAGCUAGUUGGGAGUAUGCUC